AUUGAACGCUGGCGGCAGGCCUAACACAUGCAAGUCGAGCGGAUGAAGGGAGCUUGCUCCUGGAUUCAGCGGCGGACGGGUGAGUAAUGCCUAGGAAUCUGCCUGGUAGUGGGGGAUAACGUCCGGAAACGGGCCCUAAUACCGCAUACGUCCUGAGGGAGAAAGUGGGGGAUCUUCGGACCCCACGCUAUCAGAUGAGCCUAGGUCGGAUUAGCUAGUUGGUGGGGUAAAGGCCUACCAAGGCGACGAUCCGUAACUGGUCUGAGAGGAUGAUCAGUCACACUGGAACUGAGACACGGUCCAGACUCCUACGGGAGGCAGCAGUGGGGAAUAUUGGACAAUGGGCGAAAGCCUGAUCCAGCCAUGCCGCGUGUGUGAAGAAGGUCUUCGGAUUGUAAAGCACUUUAAGUUGGGAGGAAGGGCAGUAAGUUAAUACCUUGCUGUUUUGACGUUACCAACAGAAUAAGCACCGGCUAACUUCGUG
rnacentral:rRNA from 1 species